rnacentral:rRNA from 1 species
CAUGAUGUUGGCUUAGAAGCAGCCAUCAUUUAAAGAAAGCGUAAUAGCUCACUGGUCGAGUCGGCCUGCGCGGAAGAUGUAACGGGGCUAAACCAUGCACCGAAGCUGCGGCAGCGACGUUUAUGCGUUGUUGGGUAGGGGAGCGUUCUGUAAGCCUGCGAAGGUGGCCUGUGAGGGUUGCUGGAGGUAUCAGAAGUGCGAAUGCUGACAUAAGUAACGAUAAAGCGGGUGAAAAGCCCGCUCGCCGGAAGACCAAGGGUUCCUGUCCAACGUUAAUCGGGGCAGGGUGAGUCGACCCCUAAGGCGAGGCCGAAAGGCGUAGUCGAUGGGAAACGGGUUAAUAUUCCCGUACUUGGUGUUACUGCGAAGGGGGGACGGAGAAGGCUAUGUUGGCCGGGCGACGGUUGUCCCGGUUUAAGCGUGUAGGCUGGUUUUCCAGGCAAAUCCGGAAAAUCAAGGCUGAGGCGUGACGACGAGGCACUACGGUGCUGAAGCAACAAAUGCCCUGCUUCCAGGAAAAGCCUCUAAGCAUCAGGUAACAUCAAAUCGUACCCCAAACCGACACAGGUGGUCAGGUAGAGAAUACCAAGGCGCUUGAGAGAACUCGGGUGAAGGAACUAGGCAAAAUGGUGCCGUAACUUCGGGAGAAGGCACGCUGACAUGUAGGUGAAGUGAUUUACUCAUGGAGCUGAAGUCAGUCGAAGAUACCAGCUGGCUGCAACUGUUUAUUAAAAACACAGCACUGUGCAAACACGAAAGUGGACGUAUACGGUGUGACGCCUGCCCGGUGCCGGAAGGUUAAUUGAUGGGGUCAGCGCAAGCGAAGCUCCUGAUCGAAGCCCCGGUAAACGGCGGCCGUAACUAUAACGGUCCUAAGGUAGCGAAAUUCCUUGUCGGGUAAGUUCCGACCUGCACGAAUGGCGUAAUGAUGGCCAGGCUGUCUCCACCCGAGACUCAGUGAAAUUGAACUCGCUGUGAAGAUGCAGUGUACCCGCGGCAAGACGGAAAGACCCCGUGAACCUUUACUAUAGCUUGACACUGAACAUUGAGCCUUGAUGUGUAGGAUAGGUGGGAGGCUUUGAAGUGUGGACGCCAGUCUGCAUGGAGCCGACCUUGAAAUACCACCCUUUAAUGUUUGAUGUUCUAACGUGGACCCGUUACCCGGGUUGCGGACAGUGUCUGGUGGGUAGUUUGACUGGGGCGGUCUCCUCCUAAAGAGUAACGGAGGAGCACGAAGGUUGGCUAAUCCUGGUCGGACAUCAGGAGGUUAGUGCAAUGGCAUAAGCCAGCUUGACUGCGAGCGUGACGGCGCGAGCAGGUGCGAAAGCAGGUCAUAGUGAUCCGGUGGUUCUGAAUGGAAGGGCCAUCGCUCAACGGAUAAAAGGUACUCCGGGGAUAACAGGCUGAUACCGCCCAAGAGUUCAUAUCGACGGCGGUGUUUGGCACCUCGAUGUCGGCUCAUCACAUCCUGGGGCUGAAGUAGGUCCCAAGGGUAUGGCUGUUCGCCAUUUAAAGUGGUACGCGAGCUGGGUUUAGAACGUCGUGAGACAGUUCGGUCCCUAUCUGCCGUGGGCGCUGGAGAACUGAGGGGGGCUGCUCCUAGUACGAGAGGACCGGAGUGGACGCAUCACUGGUGUUCGGGUUGUCAUGCCAAUGGCACUGCCCGGUAGCUAAAUGCGGAAGAGAUAAGUGCUGAAAGCAUCUAAGCACGAAACUUGCCCCGAGAUGAGUUCUCCCUGAGACUUUAGGUCUCCUGAAGGAACGUUGAAGACGACGACGUUGAUAGGCCGGGUGUGUAAGCGCAGCGAUGCGUUGAGCUAACCGGUACUAAUGAACCGUGAGGCUUAACCUUACAACGCCGAAG